CCUACGGGGGGCAGCAGUGAGGAAUAUUGGUCAAUGGGCUUACGCCUGAACCAGCCAAGUCGCGUGAGGGAAGACUGCCCUAUGGGUUGUAAACCUCUUUUGUCAGGGAGCAAUUGGCGCUACGUGUAGCGUUAUCGAGCGUACCUGAAGAAAAAGCAUCGGCUAACUCCGUGCCAGCAGCCGCGGUAAUACGGAGGAUGCGAGCGUUAUCCGGAUUUAUUGGGUUUAAAGGGUGCGUAGGCGGAAUGCCAAGUCAGCGGUAAAAUCGCGGGGCUCAACCUCGCUCCGCCGUUGAAACUGGCGUUCUUGAGUGGGCGAGAAGUAUGCGGAAUGCGUGGUGUAGCGGUGAAAUGCAUAGAUAUUAGGAGGAACACCAGUGGCGAAGGCAGUCUGCUGGACAGCAACUGACGCUGAGGCGCGAAAGCGUGGGGAGCAAACAGGAUUAGAUACCCGAGUAGUC
rnacentral:rRNA from 1 species